rnacentral:rRNA from 1 species
GAUGAACGCUGGCGGCGUGCCUAACACAUGCAAGUCGAACGGAAAGGCGCUGCUUUUGCGGGGUGCUCGAGUGGGGCGCGGGUGAGAAACACGUGAGUAUACCGCCCUUGACUGUGGGAUAUCUUCAGGGAACUGCGGAUACUACCGGGUAGGAGCUACUGAAGCAUGGGGGGGGUUGGAGAGUUUCGGCGGUUGUGGCUGGACUAGCGGCGUAUUAGCUAGUUGGUGGGGUAGUGACCUACCAAGCCGUCGACGGGUAUCCGGCCUGAGAGGAUGAUCGGCCACAUGGGAAGGUAGACACGGUCCAGACUCCUACGGGAGGGAGCAGUGGGGAAUAUUAGGCAAUGGGCGAAAGCCUGACACAGCAAUGGCGAGUGUGUGACGAAGGCCUUCGGAUCGUAAAGACCUUUUAUUGGGGAAGAACAGCUGUCGCCUAAUACGAAGCGGUCUUGACGGUAACGAAUGAAUAAGCACCGGCUAACUACGUG